rnacentral:rRNA from 1 species
UGGGGAAUAUUGGACAAUGGGCGCAAGCCUGAUCCAGCCAUGCCGCGUGAGUGACGAAGGCCUUAGGGUUGUAAAGCUCUUUUGGCGGGGAAGAUAAUGACGGUACCCGCAGAAUAAGCUCCGGCUAACUUCGUGCCAGCAGCCGCGGUAAUACGAAGGGAGCUAGCGUUGUUCGGAAUCACUGGGCGUAAAGCGCACGUAGGUGGGCAGUUAAGUCAGGGGUGAAAUCCUGGGGCUCAACCCCAGAACUGCCUUUGAUACUGGCUGUCUCGAGGUCGAGAGAGGUUGGUGGAAUUCCUAGUGUAGCGGUGAAAUGCGUAGAUAUCAAGAGGAACACCUGAGGUGAAGACGGGUUGCUGGGCUGACACUGACGCUGAGGCGCGAAAGCCAGGGGAGCAAACGGGAUUAGAUACCCACGUAGUCCCUGAGCGGGCUGGCAAGGCGCAU